rnacentral:rRNA from 1 species
AUGGGUGCCUGCGUGUCUUCAAGCAGGAGGCGGAGACCGCAGAGAUUGCGCUGCACAUAUCGCCGUGGAAAGGUUUUGAGAAACACGCCUACCAUACGCGCCAGUGAUGUGGGGACCUGUGCUGCUUCUGGAGAAGUUGUCCAUGUGGAGACUUCCGCGGCCACUCGCAGGAAAUCUGAUGGCUCGAAUGUGACAUUCCACCUUACACAGCUGCAGUGGCAUCAUAGCGAGCUAGACUCGGAAAAUGGAAGCGUUGUAUGUCAGGAAGAAGCAUGGUUCGAUUCUGUCAGCAUUUUGGGUUCUGAUUCUGAUGAAGACUUCAGCAGUGUCAACGGAGACUUUCCUGCCAUGUCGGGCGCUGGAAGGACACACUUAGUGCAGUGUGAAGAUGCUUCAUGUAUUGCUGAUUGCAUCCAGAAGUUCGAGAAGUUUUUUGACAGUUCAUGUGUUGCUCAAGCUGUUGAACAGUACCUAACAAGAGAUGCACACUGUAUGGAUAAAUCAAGCCAAUCCGGUGUUCAGGAAGCAGAGAGGCUUAAAAUUGCAAGUUCGGAAACAUCUGAUAUCUCUGGUGCAAAGGUGGAGGAAGCAAAGACAAAAAAUGAUGGCGUAAAAAUGCUGACAAAACUUCGAAGAGGUGACGAGGCAUGCAAUAAUUUGAAGUCUUUCAAAGAUGGAGAAAAAUCUCAUGAAAGUAUCUUCAAAAGUUUGACACCAGUGUGCACGCCUCGUCAUGCUAAUAAGGUUCAGCCGUUGGGAGUGGCGAGCCCACGGGGCCAAAAGAAGAAGUCAGGAGUUGUCAGGCUCUCUUUCACGAGGACAUCUUUUGAUGGGGAGCAAACUACUGAAAUAUGCUCUAGGAGGUACUUGAUUCGUCCAAGAGCCGGGCUAUUGAUUCCUCAAGCGAGCGAGAAAAUAUCAGAAGGUUGUUGGUCCAUUCUUGAGCCUUCGAUCUUCAAGCUACGCGGAGACAGCUUUUUCAGAGACAAAAAGAAGGCAGCUGCCCCAGGAAGUUCUCCAUAUACUCCAAUCGGCGUGGACAUGUUCAUGUCACCAAGGAAAAUACAUCACAUUGCCCAGCAUAUUGAGCUACCAUCUAUAAGGCCAAGUGAGAAAGUUCCUUCUUUACUUAUCGUAAAUAUUCAGAUGCCUACAUAUCCGACUGCUAUCUUCCUUGGUGACAGCGACGGGGAAGGGAUUAACCUAGUGUUGUAUUUCAAACUGAACGACAACUUUGAGAAAGACAUUUCUCCUCACUUCUAUGAGAGUAUCAAGAGACUUGUAAGCGAUGAGGUAGAAAAGGUCAAAGGGUUUCCAUUAGACUCAACUGUUCCUUACAGGGAAAGAUUGAAAAUAUUGACUGGGUUGGUUAACCCAGAUGAUAUGAAUCUGAGUUCUGCGGAGAGGAAACUUGUGCAGGCUUAUAAUGAAAAGCCAGUUCUGUCACGGCCUCAACACAACUUCUAUGUGGGACCAAAUUACUUGGAGAUAGACCUAGAUGUGCACCGGUUUAGCUUCAUAUCGAGGAAAGGGCUCGAAGCUUUCCGGGAACGGCUGAAACAUGGUGUAAUCGAUCUGGGUCUGACUAUACAGGCCCAGAAGCAGGAAGAACUCCCUGAGAGUGUCCUGUGCAGUGUAAGGCUAAACCGGCUUGAUUUCGUCGAUCAUGGACAAAUACCAACACUCCUUCCUUGCGACGACGACUGA